AAUAUAUUUAUUUAAAGGGAGAUUUGUAAAACUACCCUUUUUUUACUACCCUUUUGAAACAAUACCCUUUUAUGUUGUCUAUUUUUAAAAAUAUCCUUUCUUUUGAACAAAAUGACCAAAUUACCCUCAUCUAAUAGAAACAUGUAAUUAGAAACUGAACUUUUUCCGCCAAUUUUUUGGCGCCAAAAUUUUUUUUCCCGCCAAAAAAAAUUCCGCCAAAUUUUUUUUUCGUAACAAUUUUUUUCUCAGCCAAAAAAAUUAAUUUUUAAAAUCCUUGUAAAUAUUUAUUUGCGGCAAAUAGAUUUACAAGGGAUUUUAAAAGGGUUUUAAAAGAUUUACAAGAGAUUUUAAAAAGGUUUAAAAAGAUUUA
rnacentral:sRNA from 1 species